UCGGCAUUUAAAUGCCUUGGUAAAUCGAAUUUUACCGAGAAACGAGCAAUAGUUUUAUAGUGGAAAUCAUGCAUUUAAAUAUGAAUAUUCCUUGUGUAUUCACUUCAAGGAUUAGCAUGCGGUGGAAUAAAAUUUAUGCUUUCUACUUAUUGUAUACAAUAUCUAAGUAACAAGAUGAACGUGUAGCUUAAUCAAGUUCGUCUUCGAAAAUAAGACUAUUUAUCAUUGUUCAAAGGAUGGAGAACAUUGAGCCUCGUAAAAACAAGUACACCCUGAACGAUUUCAUUUUUGCCCAUAUCGCUUUAAAUAUAUCACUAGAGCAAUCUUAGUGUAUAGUCAUCUAUUCUUGUCUGUGUAAACGAUGGGCUGACAAAUAGUCGACCGUUUACAGGAAGUUAGCGUAUAAAAUAACCCUUGUUUGAAUGAAUUCUAUAUGAAAUGAAAUUAAAAAGCAGACAUGUUUUGUACGGUAACAAUUGGUCGUAGUAUUAGACUACACUCUGGCGUUAUUAAAUCUGACUAACUGACACUAAAUGCGGUCAAUUUCUCAUAAGAAACAGGGAAUGACAAUUUUUAUUUGUGUAUGUUCUGCGUGAGAUCAAUUUAAUGAACCAAAUGGCCCAUUACAAGGAGUUAUUCUAUAAGAAAUGUACGUAUUCCAUGUUUUUGAAAUUUCUCCUCUUUUAUAGGAUAUGAAAGUAUUCAAAGAGUGAUUAAUUUUUUGAUAUAACAUGUAUUUUACAUUUUUCAUAUCAUAGAUAUUACCUAAACCAAAGGAUAUAUGUAGCUCUCGGACGGACUUAUAUUUUUAUUUUUCCUGGUUAUGUUUUCAAAAUAAGUACAGGAAAGUGGGGAGGGGUUUGUUAUAAUUUCACGACCUUGAAUUUCCGAUGAAUUUAGGCUAAAUGCGUAUUUUGAAAAAUGGAAUACAAUAGUUCUUAUAUCCAUAUAAUUCCUUCGGCAAAGUAUGAACAAACCCGGUUGUACAUUUUCCAAGGGGACCAAGGAAAACCCUUGGACGUACAAGGUUUUUCCUAGGAAAACCUUGGAAAUUUCUCUAUUCUGAGAUAAUGCUAAAAUUUCCUUGGACAAAACCACGGACAUUUGUAAGAGUCCUUGGAAACCUUGUACAAAAACCUUUGAAAAGAGAAACAUAGUCAAUUUUGAGCUUGGACAUACCACGGAAAUCUGAACCUAGAAAAUGUUUUGCUUGGAAACUGUCUUUGAACUGAAAACUUAGUAAUUCUAGAGCUCGGAAAUACCUCGGACAUCUGGACUUAGUUUAUUUUUUGCUCGGACACUUAGAACAUCUCUUAUGGAUAAGGCAAAAAAGUUCUAAGUCAAAAACAUGGGAAAAGUUUCUUAAAAUAAUUAAUUCAUUACUUUCAUUAGUUUUAUGGUCAUGUAGGUAUUCAAAUUAAUUGAAAUGAAACAAUGAAUUUAACUAAAUAAAAUUUAAGUCAACCUUUUUACUUUGCAUAUUAAAAAAAUAUAAAUUAGAAUUAUAUCAGCUUAUCAAUUCAUCUGGACAGUUGAUGUAACAAGAGAUAACAUUAAAAAUAUAUCAGACUGUGUAAGCUAUUCAUUUCCUUUUUAUUGAUCUCUAACAACAGCACUAGAACAAAAUAGUAGUUCAUUUAAGGAUUAAAAGUCCAACAAAUAUGCUUAUAUAAUUUUGUUACAUCAUCAUCACUGAAUUAGUCUAUACCUUUGAUAAUUGGCCAAUGAUUACAUUAUCUAGCUUUUACAGUCAAUUAAUAUACUGCUGUUCAAUGUAUACUGAUGUAUAAAUAAACCACAGAGAUAGCUGAUAACAGCAGGAUGUUCUAUUCAAGAUAAGAACCAAUGAGAAGCUGUUAUAUGCCUGUGACCCAAAAAAAUAAUCCCAAUUUUUCUGUUUGUUUGUCUGUGAUAUUUGCAAAUUCUGUGAGCAAAUAAAUGGACAAAUUCUUCCUUGAACUCUAUAUAUUUAUAUUAAAACAUUCUAGAUAUUCCCUUCAGCAGUAUAAAGAACAUAAGAAAAUUGCUCAUGAAUAUCAAAACUUUGAAUGUAAACAGGAAGUGCUUUGUUCAUGUUGUUGGAGGCAAACACAAUGCUGCUAAAUAAUUGUGUAGCUGGAAAAUAAAAUACUUUUAGAGGGACAUCAGGUAAGAACAUUAAACUUUCUAGCUUUAAAUGUAAUUUAAACCUAUUAUAUGUCACAGGACUAGAACAAUUGGACUGAAGCAGGAACUUAAUUCAUCUAACUGGCUUGAAUUUUCGCCUGCAUGGUUGCAGGUAAAUUUUUCUUCAGGUAUAUGUGAAUUAUAGAUAAAUAUACUUCUGCAGCAACACUUUAUUUAAUACUUAUCAUGGCAAUUUUCAAUCAUGUUUUGUAAUUAGCUAGUACUUAAAUCACUUUGAACCCCUGACUUACAAGAUAGCUUAAAUACCAAUAACCACAGGAAAGAUAACUCUUGCAAACUCUUGAUUUCCAAAAAAUGUGACCACAAAAAUAUCAAAUGCUUGCAUUCACUUUUCAAACCUAGCUGGUUGUGUUGCAUGUAGGGUACUUUAUAUACUGUAUGAUUUUUAAGACCUGAAAAUGUGCAGAUUGGAAAUUAUACACUGUUUUCCAAAGUGAAAGUACCAUGUAUUUGAAUGGCGCUGAAAUUUCAUUUUCAUUUUUCUAUUGAAUGGCUGUGUAAUCUCUAUAAAGAAACUUAGAGGAAAUCUUCCUUUCUAAUAGAUAAAUAAGUCAUAUUAAAAUAAAUCAAAUACAUGUAGCACAACAAAUGCAGUUAACUACAGUCACUUCUGCACACAAAAAAACCUGAAAAAAUUGAUUGCCUGUGAAAAUCUGUUGUUGCUUGCCUUUAGAACAUUUUAAUGUUAUAAUUUUACUUUUCAGAUACAAGAGUGUACAUAUUUAGUUAUUUGAAGUAUGUCUUCAACACAUAUGUAUGAUAUGAUGUAUUCAGAGAAAUCUGAUGGCUUCAAUGAGUAUAUGCUACAAGAUGACAUGAGAUCACAGAUAGAGACCCCAUCAAACAUAAAUCACAGAAUAUUUCAACUAAAUUAACAGUCUGCGGCAGUUUGGUUUUAUUUUACAGUAACUUCUCAACCAGCACAGGUCACUGAAGUUUAAAACAAUUAUACUAAGGAUCAGUUGUGGAGCUACAUAGAUACUGCCAAUGAUUAUGGCAAAGUCAGCAAGUUGUUCUUCAGAAACCUGCUUUCUGAAGAAGAGUACAUGGGACAAUCCCUUACUGGCAGUGCCGCUAAUAACACUAAUAACAGUGCCCCCGGUAGGCUGGCCAUCAAAGACCAGCAGAAGUUGAAAGUAAUUCAAGAACUGAUCCAGAUGAAAUGGUCGUGGGCCAAGCCUGCAAUGGCCAACAGCAAAAUUUCCGAGAUUCUGAAUUCCUAAAGAAACUCCUCAGCCCAGUUUGGAAAGUAGACUGCCCAUGUAUUUUCGAUGUAUUACAGAUAUAAAAAUUAAAAUGUUUUAAAUGUGCUAAAUCAGUACUUAUUGUUAUAAAUCCUAACCAUUUUUAAUUAGCAUAUUUUCAUUUAUAUCAUUACAAAGAACUACAAAAGAAGAUUCCUUGUGAUAUACCUACAGUUGAAUGUUGUAAGAAACUAUCAUAGUAAGUGAUUUCAUUUGAUUUUUUGUUCUUUUGUGGAGCUGCUGUGAAACAUUUUUUUCAGGUUCGAAGCCCUCAAACUAUUCUGCAAUUGUUCAAGGUUUUCGUCCUAGGUUUCUGUCCAAGGUUUUUCCAAGAUGUUUCCGUCCGAUUUUUUUCCAAGAUGUGCCAAGGAAUCCUCGGUCCCAAUACUCCAAGGUUUCCUAGUACAUCAGAGGUGUACU
rnacentral:lncRNA from 1 species